GAUGAACGCUGGCGGCGUGCCUAAUACAUGCAAGUCGAGCGAACAGACGAGGAGCUUGCUCCUCUGACGUUAGCGGCGGACGGGUGAGUAACACGUGGAUAACCUACCUAUAAGACUGGGAUAACUUCGGGAAACCGGAGCUAAUACCGGAUAAUAUAUUGAACCGCAUGGUUCAAUAGUGAAAGACGGUUUUGCUGUCACUUAUAGAUGGAUCCGCGCCGCAUUAGCUAGUUGGUAAGGUAACGGCUUACCAAGGCGACGAUGCGUAGCCGACCUGAGAGGGUGAGCGGCCACACUGGAACUGAGACGCGGUCCAGACUCCUACGGGAGGCAGCAGUAGGGUAUCUUCCGCAAUGGGCGAAAGCCUGACGGAGCAACGCCGCGUGAGUGAUGAAGGUCUUCGGAUCGUAAAACUCUGUUAUUAGGGAAGAACAAAUGUGUAAGUAACUAUGCACUUCUUGACGGUACCUAAUCAGAAAGCCACGGCUAACUACGUG
rnacentral:rRNA from 1 species